rnacentral:rRNA from 1 species
CCUACGGGAGGCAGCAGUGGGGAAUAUUGCACAAUGGGGGAAACCCUGAUGCAGCAACGCCGCGUGGGUGAAGGAGCGUUUCGGCGCGUAAAGCCCUGUCAGCGGGGAAGAAGAAAGACGGUACCCGACCAAGAAGCCCCGGCUAACUACGUGCCAGCAGCCGCGGUAAUACGUAGGGGGCGCGCGUUAUCCGGAAUUACUGGGUGUAAAGGGCGUGUUGCCGGGUUGACAAGUCAGAUGUGAAAUCCUGCGGCUUAACCGGAGAACUGCAUUUGAAACUGUUGAUCUUGAGUACUGGAGAGGCAGAUGGAAUUCCUAGUGUAGCGGUGAAAUGCGUAGAUAUUAGGAGGAACACCAGUGGCGAAGGCGGUCUGCUGGACAGCAACUGACGGUGAGGCGCGAAAGCGUGGGGAGCAAACAGGAUUAGAUACCCCUGUAGUC